rnacentral:tmRNA from 1 species
AACGCUUUGUAGAGGGCUUUCGGACGGGGGUUCAAUUCCCCCCGCCUCCACCA